rnacentral:lncRNA from 1 species
GCAGUAGAGUUCAGGGACCCCUCAAAUUUUGAUGCGUAUGUCUUCCUGCCAAGCCAACCUUCCGGUUAAGGUGUUUCCCUUGGUGGAGGUUCCACUGGAUGUUGAGGCUCCGGACAUCAAGAAGGCCAUCGAUGAUUAUCGGCUCGCACGAUCUCUUCUUAGGUCAGCCCACCUGCCAGCCGAUGUUGAAGUCUUCAAUACUGAAGGUAGGGCAUUUCAAAUUUAGGAUUCGUGGGACUCCCUUCUCUAGGUAAGUGAUGAUCUAUCGACC